CAAAGCCAUUAUGUUUCUGACUGUUUCCAUGAACUUUUUUUGGUGACAUCCAUUCUGUUAAGUCAUUCUUGAUUUCUUAAAAUAAGAGCCAGUGAAACCCAAGUCUGAAACAUCUUAUGGGAUCAGAUCACAAACUUCAUUUUCUUCUUUGGGUGGCAGUCUUCUUUUUUGACCACUUUACUGCAAAGACCAAGAGUUGUUACUUCUGAUCACACAUGGGUGCUGAGAAGGCUGCUAGGAUCAUUUGACUAUGGAAGACAACAGAAUGGUAAAGCUGGGAUGAUCAUGUGGAUCAUUCUGGAAGAGAGGAAAGCCCAAAGAAAUUUCCCAAGGCCUUGCAACUAGUUUUUGGCUUAUCCAGAAUACUUAACUCCAGGGUGACUUAGGUUGCCAUUUACUAAUAGGUGCAACUUGUGUGAAAGGAUGAGCAUUUUGAAGAACUGGAUGAAAACUCAGUUGGAAAAGCACAGGAAGCCUCUAAAUGAGAGACAGCUGAGUUGGGACAAGCACACAGAGUGCAGACUUAACUACACCCGUGCAAGGUGCAGUCCUGGUCAAUCAGAGUUAAUAAUAUCGCUCUUCACUGGGGAUGGAGGCUUCAGCCAGUUCAAAAUAGAAUGUCUCCAAACGAGGCAAGGAAAUGCAAGAUGAAGACAGCUCCUUUCAAGGACAGAGAGAUGUGAAGUCUUCUUGGUGAAGCAACACUCAAAUCCCAAGAUCUGACCUGCUUCUACCAAGAGACAAGAUUUUGCCAUCUUGCUUAAGCUGACCUCGAACUCCUAGGC
rnacentral:lncRNA from 1 species